GAGUUGGCUUACACUCGCCACAAGCUACAUCAGGGUCACUUCAGUACAUUACAUAAUCAUCAAGAGUAAGAGCAGGGUCCGACUAUGGAUGAAAACAAACGAGAAAAGAAGAACGACGUCCAUCCUUGCUAUCCCAGGCUGCCGGCGUGGAACCCAUCCUAGAUCGAUGAAGAAGAAGAAGAACAAGCAACUCCAAAUGAACAAUCAACGCGCUCGCGUCAAGUAAUCUUUACCUGUACCUGCAACUGGUGUUGAAGUAGUCUAUGAGCCAUAGGGGACUCAGCAAUCUCAUUUCCAAAGGUAUCAAGACUAGCAAAGCUUAAUGGGUGAGGCAUGGUUAAGUGGUGAGGUUGCAGCAGCGGCUAAGCAUAUAUUUGGUGGCUACACUUACGAGUACAAGAAAUAAGAGGGUGAAGAUCUACGCAUAAGCCCACCGUGUCCUUGAUCGGAGUAAGAACGCACGAAAGAGACAGUCACGGUUACGCACACAGUUGGCAUGUUUUAAUUAAGUUAACUUCAAGUUAUCUAGAACCAGUGUUAAACAAAGUUUCCACGUUGCCACAUAACCGCGGGCAUGGCAUUCCAAAAGAUUUAACCCUGCAGGGGUGCUCCAACUAGUCCAUCACAAAUUACCACAAGCCGCAUAGAAAUUCUCAAUCACGAAGCUCACGAUCUCGUCGGAUUCCCUAGUGGAAAACCUCAACUCUGAGAUUACCCAAAGCAUCACCGGAAUCCCGAUGCACCAGAUAUCUCGUCAAAGGUAAAACAAAUCCAGCAAGGCCGCCCAACUUGUCGACGAUCUCGAUAGGAGUCGCGUACCUCGUUCUCAGGACACGGCGGAUGAGCUAGACAUCGGGAUCACUAAACCUCCGUGUGACCAGAGGGCCGCCGGACAUCGCUCAGGUGGGGCCAACACUCAUGAGGAGCACUGGCCCGGAGGUUGAUUAAAUUAUCCUUGGGGUCCGGAAAGUCCCUAUGCAAUUUUAUUAGGUGUUUAGGCAAAUGUAGUACCAAAGUUGGGCCUUGCCAGACCAGCUUUAAUCUAAAACGAAUUAUCAAGGGGCUCCCCAUAACAACCCUGAUCGUGUUAGGAGCGCUCAUUUAUGGAACAUAACACUGGUAGCCGGAAACUAAGGGGGCAAACGUGGAACAAAACACCAGGCUAGAAAAUCCGAGCCUUCCACCUUUUACCAAGUAUAUAGGUGCAUUAAAUUAAAUAGCAUUUAAUAUGAUGAUAUAACAAGGAACCCAUUCUUUCACAUGGAAGCAUCUGCACCUGCACCUAGCAACGCUAUCAACAGGGUUAAGCAAGCAGUAACAUAGCCAAUCAGUGGUUUGCUAGGUCGAACAGGUUGAAGGUUAUCAUGGCAUUGUUGAGAGGCUGAUAUUUAACAUGUGGUAGGCAACGAGACAUAACGAUAGAAGCGAUAAACUAGCAUGGCAAUGAUAGUAAUGGUAUCUGGGGAAAUGGUCAUCUUGCCUGAGAUCCCGCUUGGAAGAAGAA
rnacentral:lncRNA from 1 species